rnacentral:rRNA from 1 species
GUUCGAUUAUGGCUCAGGAUUAACACUGGCGGUAUGCCUAAUACAUGCAAGUCGAACGGAAUUAAUCUUUCGGGAUUGAUUUAGUGGCGAACGGGUGAGUAACACGUGCUUAAUCUACCCUUAAAUCAGGAAUACGUACUGGAAACGGUAAAUAAUACCUGAUGUGUUUUUUAAAACGCAUGUUUUAAAAAACAAAGCAACUUCUGGUUGUGUUUAAGGAUGAGAGCGCGUCGCAUUAGAUUGUUGGUGGGGUAACGGCCUACCAAGUUAAUGAUGCGUAGCUGAACUGAGAGGUUGAACAGCCACACUGGGAUUGAGAUACGGCCCAGACUCCUACGGGAGGCAGCAGUAAGGAAUUUUUCACAAUGGGCGCAAGCCUGAUGAAGCAAUACCGCGUGAUUGAUGAAGGUUUUCGGAUCGUAAAAAUCUGUGGUAAAGAAAGAAAAUCAAUUUGAAGAAAAGCGAAUUGAUUUGACGGUACUUUACUAGAAAGUCACGACUAAUUACGUGC